AAUCAACGCUGGCGGCGUGCCUCAGACAUGCAAGUCGAACGCGAAAGUUUCCUUCGGGGGAGUGAGUAGAGUGGCGCACGGGUGAGUAACACGUAGGUAAUCUACCUUUGGAUGGGGAAGUAACAAUCGGAAACGGUUGCUAAUACCGCAUAAUGCAGCGGCACCUAAUGGUGACAGUUGUUAAAGCGGGGAGUCGAAAGACCUCGCGUCUGAAGAGGAGCCUGCGGCGGAUUAGCUAGUUGGUGAGGUAAUGGCUCACCAAGGCUUCGAUCUGUAGCUGGUCUGAGAGGACGGCC
rnacentral:rRNA from 1 species